rnacentral:miRNA from 1 species
AAGAACACUACCAACGACCGGU